AACGAACGCUGGCGGCGUGCUUAACACAUGCAAGUCGAACGAUGAAGCACCAGCUUGCUGCUGUGGAUUAGUGGCGGACGGGUGAGUAACACGUAAGUAACCUGCCCCUCACUCUGGGAUAAGCUAAGGAAACUGGGUCUAAUACUGGAUACGACCGAUCUCCGCAGGGAGUGCUGGUGGUAAGUUUUUGUGGUGGGAGAUGGACUCGCGGCCUAUCAGCUUGUCGGUGGGGUAAUGGCCUACCAAAGCGACGACGGGUAGCCGGCCUGAGGGGGGAACCUGCCCCGCUACGCCUGAGAUACGGCCCAGACUCGUACCGUACGCAGGGGUGGGGUAGAUUGUACAGUGGACGGGAGGCUGGUGCGACGACGCCGUGUGGGGGAAGACGUCCUUCGGGUAGUAAACCUCAUUCACCUUAGACGAAGCUAUCGUGACGGUACCUGGAGAAUAAGCACCGGCUAACUACGUG
rnacentral:rRNA from 1 species